CGGCGGCGCCGUGAGCCAUGGAGGGAUGCUCAUGCCACCGUCCUCCACGCAUCUCCUCUAAGGAUGGGACAGAAGGCUUGUCCGUCGGCAUUGCCGGCGCGGCUCCCCGCCAUGUGCCGCCCGCCAUGUGAGGCCAUCGUUUGUCUGCAGCCAUUGGAGUGGACGGUGGAGUGUCUCAGAGGAAGGCGCCUCGCCAGAUUGGAAGAGGGCUUAGUGUGUGAACCUGAUGAAUGUCGCACCCUUGCAGUCAGGUUUUUUCCCUGGAAUCACAUUUUUGAUACGAGAUCUGGUAGAUGAAGGAUUUGGUUGAGUUGCAGGGAGUGAGAUGCUGGGGCGCAGGGAUACUGCACUUGACAUGGCCAAGUCUGUCUACACGGAUGUCCAUGUGAAGCUCACUGAUGGCCGGCAAGAAAACUACACUAUUGGUCUCCAGGGCUUCCUUGUCUUCAACGCUGUUGGAGGUGGAACUUGCUCUGGCCUUGGUUCUCUUCUCCUUGAGCAGCUCUUUGUUGACUGUGGAAUAAAUUCCAAGCUUGAGUUCACUUGUGUGUCCUCACUCUCUCAUUGAACACACUUAUGUGGUUGUUCUUAACAAUGAGGCCAUCUAUGCCAUCUGCCUCUGGUCCCUUGAUAUUGAGCGCCCAACCUACACCAACCUGAACAUGCUUAUGUCUCAGGUCAUAUCAUCAUUGGCUUCUCCUCUGGGGCUUGAUGGUGUUCUCAGUAUUGAUGUCAAUGACCUCCAAACCAAUCUGGUGUCCUACCAAGUAUCCACUUCGUGCUUUCCUCGUAUACGCGCAAUUUAGGUACCUCCGCUGGAAUACUAGAGGCGAUGGCACUAAAGUCUUGAUCAAAGGUCAAUGAUGCGCCCCUGGAAUCGUUCCGUGCCUGGCUGCUAAUUGGUGUAUUUUCCUUGUAUUCCAAGGACGCGGUGCUGAUGUUGUUCCUCCAGAUGCGUAGUCGCUGCCACCGCAAGAAAGAUGAAAACAUACUGCUGCUAGGUUACUCCACACGCCCUGUAUGCCGGUCAAUGGUGCGCCCCUGGGAUCGUUUCGUGCCUGACUGCUAAUUGAUGUAUUUUCCUUGUAUGAAUGACAAGAUGUUGGUGCUGUUCCUCCAGAUGCGCCGUCGCUGCCACCGCGAGAAAGAUCCCGACUGCUGCUGCUAGUUGACCCCCCAUGCUGAUGUGCACUGCUCAAUCUACUAUGCACCUUUGUUGAUUGCGAUAAUUUCAAGUAGUGCCCACUUCCCCUCGACAAGAAAUGCAUUGCAGAAGUAAUAGUAACUGGACAAGCUUUAAAAAAGAUGUUUGUUGAUGCAUACCACACGGUAUAUAUAAGCGUUGUAGUAGCUUUAGUGCAUUUUAAUGAUUGUUCAUCUUUGCGAUUGUAUUGAGUUUC